rnacentral:rRNA from 1 species
ACGCUCGACACCUACGGGGGGCAGCAGUGGGGAAUAUUGCACAAUGGGGGAAACCCUGAUGCAGCGACGCCGCGUGAGUGAAGAAGUAUUUCGGUAUGUAAAGCUCUAUCAGCAGGGAAGAAAAUGACGGUACCUGACUAAGAAGCCCCGGCUAACUACGUGCCAGCAGCCGUGGUAAUCUGAGCGGGCUGGCAAGGC